rnacentral:rRNA from 1 species
AAACUUGAGAGUUUGAUCCUGGCUCAGAACGAACGCUGGCGGCAGGCUUAACACAUGCAAGUCGAGCGGGUAGCAAUACCAGCGGCAGACGGGUGAGUAACACGUGGGAACCUUCCUAGAGGUACGGAACAACGCAGGGAAACUUGCGCUAAUACCGUAUGUGCUCUUGCGAGGAAAGAUUUAUCGCCUUUAGACGGGCCCGCGUCGGAUUAGCUAGUUGGUGGGGUAAUGGCCUACCAAGGCAACGAUCCGUAGCUGAUCUGAGAGGAUGAUCAGCCACACUGGAACUGAGACACGGUCCAGACUCCUACGGGAGGCAGCAGUGGGGAAUCUUGGACAAUGGGCGCAAGCCUGAUCCAGCCAUGCCGCGUGAGUGAAG